UUGUAUCUCGAUCACUUUGUUUUUGAUUUCUUCCUAUGGUCUGUGUUUUUUCUUCAUGUUAUCUCUCUAUUUGCACACUUUCCUGUCCUUCACACUUGUCCAUUUGUUGUUCUUGUCCAGUUGGUUGUGAUUACCUUCGGUUUAAUGAGCAGCUGCCUGCCACAGAUUCUCGAGGAAAAUGAACGUGCUAUGCAGUGCCUCAUGGAGUCUAUUUUUGAUGACUGUGAUAUUCAUUGUAAAAGAAAAAUCGAUAUGUCCUGUCAAGCUUCUCCUCGGCAGAGUAAGAAAGCUGAAAUAUGUGCCAGGACAAAAUGAACAAAAUCGAUCACUAUAGCAUCCCUGCCCCUUUGAGGGCAGGAGGUUAACAGCGCGGCACAAUACUUUCUGUUACUUGUUUCCCUUAAGACAUUUUAAUGUAUUAUCAAUAUACUGUACUGUUCUAAAGUUAUAUAUUAUUUUUCUCCACAGCAUUAUACAUGGCUAUAUAACCAGGGAAAAAUAAUUAUGCAUAGCAUAUGACAAUGUCUUCACAUUUUGCUUUUAUUUGUACAGUAAGUUUAUAAGAUUGUCUUCUAAAAUAACUAACAAUGACAAUGAGUUAAUCGCAAUGUUAUUCCUUUGAUCGUAACCUGGCAGCUUAUCCUAAGUAACUACACACUUAUUUAUAAAGUUGAUGGAUACUGAUAAAUGAGUCAAAUGUAAAGUGGAGCAGAUUUUGCUAUCUGAAGCUGAAAUUGCUAAGCUACAUGGAGAAAACUAAAUUUAUUUUCAAUACCAACAAUUACUGGAAAUAGUAGAUGCCAUUUUAUAAUGGGUCAGAGUGAAAGCCUUCUAACUGUGUGGUAGGAGCAUUUAAAAUGAAGCAGUAUUUCCUCCAUCCCCAAUUUGGUGAAAUUUUAAAAUAGCUAAAUGUUCACUCAGAUGAGGUGGGAACCCCACACACCUGUGCAAAUUAUACUCCUCCUAUGUCAACACAACAUUAAGGACAUUUAGUAGCAAGUCAAUGGUAGUGGUUAUCUAGCAGUAUGAACCUGAUGCAACACUGGACAGUCCUGUAUGGUAUAUUUGAGAUUUCCCUCUGUGGGUCCACAGAGUGAUCCUUUGUGCCCCACUUGAAAAAUAUAAACUUUUUUUCCCCAGAUUCCUUCUCCUCACUAAUUUAUCAUCAUUCUUGAAUUCUCCUUACAAUUGUGGACUAUCCUAGAAUUCCAUUUCCCAUCUCUGAUCCUGUCUUUCCUUAGGCCAGGCUGGCAUGCUUCUGGCAGCCCGACUUCUGCUACUUUCCUGGCCACUUUGGUGGGGCUUUGCAUAGUUAUGUUCUAAUGCGAUCAUGGUGUUAAGCUUGGCUAUGUCUUUCGCUGCUGCUCCUGGACAGGCCAGGCACUUAUUUUCCCAACUAAGAGAUGCAAUUUCCACUUUGGGAAUGGCAAAAUAAACAUGGCUUAACCGCCACUACUGUCGAAUGUAUCUGCAUCAUCCAUCUAAUGAAAUUAGUUGAAUUAAUCAAAAAGAUAAUUAGAAAAGAGGCAUAUUUAGGAAUGACUGGAAGGUCACAGGCUUUGAUAUGAUACUUGAGGUGGAAAUGACAGGAGUUUUGACACUGACAUUUACCCAAGAAUUUUGAGAAUUUAUUAUCAGUCUCAUAUCAGCAGUAAUAGCAAUUGAAGUCAAUUUCAAAGGACAUACUCAAAAGAGGAUAAUAUUGAAUGACAGUUUCUUACUUCUAAUUUGCUUACAUAUUGAUUAAAACAUUGACAUGUUUUUACUAGAAACAAAAGUAAUUAUUAUAAUGUUUAUUUGAUAUAUAGUUUAGUCAAAUUUGCUGUUGUUUCCUUUGACUGAUACACUUGCUGUUAUGUAUACCAAGAUGAUGAAUCAGAAAUCUGCAGAAAUAAAUAAUUUCAAGCCCACUAGCUUCUUUAGUUAGCUCCAGAAAGCAUGGCCUUUGUCAACAAUGGAUGUUCCAUUUCUUAUAUCUAUCGCACUGGAUUUGUAAUUGAACUUCCAAAGCAGACAAGUCAGAGGCAUUAGAAGAAAGUGAGAACUGCAGAUGUUGGGGAUCA